rnacentral:lncRNA from 1 species
UUUUUGCAUAUCAUAGUGAUCGAAACUUUUGAGUCUUUUAAGAUAACUCAUAGUCAUCAUGUUCGUGCCAACAUUUGCAGUUAUUUUCACGCUUGCAAUUUAUCAGGUUGCUUCAGCACCUGUUGAUGGCCGAGUCGAAUCCGAUGGAUCCUACAAGCGCCUAUACUUUACCUUACAUCCAAUCAGUGGCCAAGGAUGGCACAAAAACGAUUUUGACUUCUGAAGAUUUGCUGAACUUGAGCCAAAAAAUUAAAAUCUGGUGAAAUACCGUCAACAACUUCUCCACCAAUUGAUUGGCAUCAACGGGUUUUCACACACGCUAUCUGACCAUCAAUUGCAGCGGAUUGCAGAUCAUGACAUCGCGGCGAUUGUCUCCCCUCAGAGUUUCAAUCAACCUGGGUUCGGACACUUGUUCAUUACCAUUGACAACAAUGGAAUUGUUCAGACUUUCAUCUAUAAUGUGACUAUGCAAGAAGCUAUGGAGAAAGUUGAGAAAGAAGGUUAUCCGAAUUCAUCAUCCAGUGGCUCUUAUCACCAUAAUUAGAGUCACGCUUCAACGACUUACCCUUCCGUCACUUCAGAGUUGAAUCAACUAAGAAUUACACUAGUUUAAUAAUUAUGAUAAGAAUUUGUACUUUUAUAAUAUUAUUAAUCAUGAAAGUUGUAUCCAUUGAUCCUUAAGGUAAAAUAUAAAUGGUAGUGGUCUUAAA